GACGAACCGUGCAAACGUUGUUCGGAAUCACUGGGCUUAAAGGGCGCGUAGGCGGGCCAUCAAGUCCGGGGUGAAAUCUUUCGGCUCAACCGGAAAAGUGCCUUGGAUACUGAUGGUCUGGAGGGAGGUAGGGGCAGUGGGAACUUCCGGUGGAGCGGUGAAAUGCGUUGAUAUCGGAAGGAACGCCGGUGGCGAAAGCGCACUGCUGGACCUUCACUGACGCUGAGGCGCGAAAGCCAGGGGAGCGAACGGG
rnacentral:rRNA from 1 species